AUCUAUUUAACAUAUAUAUAACUCUAUAUAUACACUAGUAUUUCAUGGUAUAAUAUGUACAUCUAUAAAAUGAGAGGAUAUUCUGUAUCUCCUCAUUUAUUGAUGGGCAUUUGGGCUGGUUCCAUAUUUUUGCAAUUGCAAAUGGUGCUGCUAUAAACAUGAGUGUGCAAGUAUCUUUUUGUAAAAUGACUCUUUUCCUCUGGAUAGAUAGACACCUAGAAGUAGGAUUAUUUUCUGUGGAGACGGGAUCAUAGUAUGAUGCCUGGGCUGGUCUCACACUCCUGGCCUCAACUGAUCCUCCCGCCUCGACCUCCCAAAGCCCUGGGAUUACAGGCAUGAACCACCACAACUGGAUCCCCUUUACUCUCAAUCAAAUUCUUUAUGACAUGUAAUCGGAUAACUUUGAAGGUGAAGAAUUCAGUUCUUAAAUACACAGUGCUUGUUAACUUAUCUAGAAAAGGAAAAGGUCAACUUGAGACUUUGGUUUGUUGCAGAAGCUGCUGGUUUUGAUCUGCUCCUCCUUGGCACCAGGGGAGAUUAGGAAGAGUGAAUCUAAACAAGAUUGGACAAAGUUUUGGGUUUGAUGACCAGUGUCCUUUGAUUGGAAAUUACUAUGUUAAUUCUGACCUGGAAGACAGUGAAUUUAGAAUGCCCUGUUGAUCUGAACAUCUUGAUCACUGCCUUUGGUGGGCUUUUUGUUAAGCUUGAUGUAGACUUGACUUCUGGAAGCUGGAGACCCUGGCCUCCAUUUUGAAAACGGAAAAUAAAAACCGCAGAUCUGUGAAGGUCUAAGGUGAAGUUCAGAAAAGCUGUAUCGACUGUUGAGACCUGGCGACUUGUUUAAAUUUCAUCAGCCUCACUUCUAUGAACUCUCAGAGCUGAUUACCAACUCCUACCACUCUUAACCCUCAUCCAGGAACGAACUUAUGUGUUUCCCAUUCUGAGUGGGCUUCAGCAUCCUUACAUAUGUUCAGUUCUUAAAAACCUGUUGAAAUGAGAGAUCAGGAGAUAUAGGAAGGAUGCCAGAAGAGAGCGUGGUAAGUGGGGGAGGAUCUUUUCCCAAGGGACUGGAGGUAUUUCAUACUUAGACUAUGUAUAUCUAAAACCAUGCAUAUGUAUUUAUGCCUAUGGUGCACAUGUGUACCAUAUAUGUUCUGUUGUGUUCCAGAAGUGUCAGAAAGGACAGUGUGAUACUGUGUAUUUUACCGCACUGCAUGCUGCUCAAGAUUAGGAAUCUUGAUGUAUUAUUUUGUAUCCUCAUCUUCGCACAAUGGCAGCAAAAUGAUGCUCAGUAAAUGUCAAUAGAACAAAUGCAUGUUAAAAAGAGGAAAGGAUGAAGGAAAGAAUGAAGAAAGGUAGAAAGAUGUACUUAAGUUGGUUUUCAACAUGACAGGACAAUGAAGAAUUAGUUUAGAUGUUUUCAGUUGUACUAGUAAACUAUCUUCUGCACGGGUAGGGGAAUGCUUGGCAGGGUCAGGAAAGUAAGAAAGGAAGCAGUUCAUCAGAAACUGUCCCUUGAGGUUGCAUACGUAAAGUCUAUCUCUGUAUGACUCAUGACUUGGGAUCCCUUGUGUCUCCAAAGGAGCCUCACUCAUUGAUAUUGGAGGCAAGAAAGCUGGAUCAUGAGUGGAGAAUAGAAAUCUAGAUCUGAAAUAGAGUGUUGUGGAAAUAGGUUUUCAGUGUCUCUCAUUCCCUACCAACUAGAAAAUGGUACUUCCAUAUUUCUAGGUAUCUUCUUCCUAAGAUUGUUUAGAAGGUAAGGUGAGAAAUAGCAGUUUGUCCUAAGAAAAACUUUUGUCUCUAAAAUGGUCCAGAGAGCUAUUAGAUUCAGGGAUCUAGGUAUUCCAGCUUCUAAGGGUUAACACAUUUUCCAGGGCUGCAUUGCAGGGUAAAAUAGGAAAAUAAAAAGAACCAUGCUUCAAUCUUUUUUUUCCCCUUUUGGUUAUCUGUCUUCCCAUCCCCACUUUUUUCCUCCUCCUUCUCUUACUUUUCCUCAUAUGUUAUAAUAUCUUAACUGGAUAUACUCUAUUUCUCAAUGGUAGAGAAAGUGAGGCUGGUUGCACAGUUUUCAAAAUUAUCUAUAAUUUUAUGUAUUUUUAUAUUUUAUAAUUUUAUCUAAAUAUUUACAGUUUUAUAUUUGACUUGUUUUUCUCUUGAAAAUAAUUCAGUAUAUGGGUGUAUACAUAUGUAUUUUUAAAAAUCCCAGAGUAUUGUCAAAUGUUCUAUCUGAAAAAGACACUUUUUUUGUUUGUUUCUGAUAAGGUUUGUUUCUGAUAACAUUUUGCAAAAUGUUAAGCAAUGUGUCUUCUCCACUGUUAAAUAAUAAGAGCUCUGUACUGGUUAUCUUAUGACUGCACUUCCAGUCCACUGUCUGCCAGGGAGACUGAUUCCAGGUGCUGCCCUCUGCUUUCUCAUUAGUCUCUCUCAAGACUGACAAUGAUAGAGCAGAGGGUUCUGGGAAGAGAGUGGGAUUGGGAUGUUGAUUCCUUGAUUCUCUUUCUGGCUGUGGGCUGGCUGGGGGGCUCUAGCAAAGCCACAGUCCCUGUUGAGUAAGUGAUCCUCUGCACACACUCUCUCAGGGCUGUGGUAACCAUUCCUUCCUUUGACCCUUCAGACCUCAUGUGUAACAGCUCUCUGCUGUCCUUUGUCCUGGAAUGUUCCAUCCCUGGAUAGUUUCCCUGCUGACAUCUUUGUAGAGAGUUCAUUCUCCAAGCUUUAGUGUGUCAUCUGUGAGGACUAUGACCCACCUGGUACAUCCCCUCAGGGUAUUCAUUUCAGGCUCAUGCUAAAUGGUCAAGGUACAGUUGACUAAAUACCCUACUUCAUUUCUGGUAUGUUUGGGGAGACAUCUGUUUUUUGCUUUUGGUCUUUCACUCUGUUUUUCUCCAGGGAGGAUUAUACUUUGUUCCUCUUCAACUUUACCCAACUGAGAGUGCUGUAAUUUAAAUAUCAACAGAUUUCCAGGGACAUAUGCACUCUCAGAAAUAAGUGCAUUCUCAGACCUGAGUACCCUGGUGUGGGCUUCGUGGUAUUUUAGGAAGCAGGAAUUGAGAUCUGAGGGCACUAGGUUUAUCUCUAAAGCAGAUGUAGGUAAACUGUCCUGGCUCUGCUGUGGUCUCUAAGAUUAUAAAGGUAUCUGGAACUCGGGAAAAACAUCUAAUUUAUCACAUCAUUGAAAGUAAUUUCUUACUAUUUAUUCAGCAUUGGCUUAAAAUAAUGAUUUUGCCAUUUUUUCCUGUCACAUUGCAAAUGCUUGUCAUUUGUUUUUCCUCUAUUGCUUUGACUAAGUUUGCAUGCUUGCAUAUCACCCUUGAAAAAGUAAAUUGUUCAGUUUUUUUCUUUUUGUAGAUAGCAUUUAAAUCACCUUUAUCAGUCUUAAAAUAAGAAACCUAAUAAAAAUAAUAACUCCAAAUUGCAAGGCAUCUCUUAGCAUACUUUGUAUCUUCAUUUUAGUUGAAAAGUUAAAAUUAUCUGUAGAGAAAGCAUGAGACUAGAUGCUACCUUUUAAUCUAUUGUGAGAGAUAUGUAACAUGUCAGCAGAUGAAAAAAACUAGGGACUGUUUUAUAAACCUCCAAUCAUCAAAUAAGUGACAUGUUUGAGUCAAUCAAUUUAAGAGGUUCCCAGUCCGCUGAUGAAACCAUUUGAAGAAAAUGUGCUGUUUGAUGUUACAGAAGCGAAAAGUUGAAUAAAUGUGUCAUCUGUUUUUCAUUUUAAUUCACUGUUUCAGAAGUAUUUACUAUGUAUUAAAAAAUCUUUUUACCCUUUCAAAUCUCUUGGACAACCUGGAAAAACGAGAACAGUUUAACAUGUAUCCAUAAAAGCACAUUCUCAGCUGAGUUAUCUUGUUCCUAUGUGGUGAUAUUAAUCGUAUUACAUAUGAACUCUAAAUUGAAGUAAGAAAGGUAUGAUUUUACUAAGUAGCUGCUGGUUUUUAAACAGAAUGUGUGUAUACACACACAUACACACACACACAUAUAUGUAUGUAUAUGUUAAAAACUUUUAAACAAAAAUUAAAGUUUUUUUUUUUUUUUUAAAUAUACGGUAUAAAUCUGAAAGGUAUUUCUAGGUUCAGGGAAAAAUUUCUAGAAGGAUGUUGCCUUUAAAAAUAAAGACAUUUUGAUGAUAGGACAAUCUCUGUUUUAACAAAUGAGAUUGUUUUCAUAUUGUUGUCCAUGAGAAAACAUUGAUAGACUAAGAUAUUCUUAUUUAAUUCUCCCUCCAACCCCAUCUUUCCCUUGCAAUUAAUGCCCAAUCACUGUUACUUUUUUCCUCACUAUUUAAAAACCUCUUGCCCACAAAGUUGCUUUUGUGAACGAUCCUUCUCUUUUCCCAGAUGUUCUUCUUUCCUCUUUUCUCUGCCCUCUCAACCUGGUCACACCUUCCUGCCUGGUUCCAUCCAGCGCUACCUCUGGAUAAUGCUAAUUUCCUCUUCUCAGCUUGGCUACUAAAUCUUACACUAUUCCAUAAAAGGCUACUUGUGGUAACUCUGGUUAUUCAUAAUGCAUAGCCAAAAAUACUCUUAAGUGCCACCACUCCCUAAUUCACAGAUUUCUAGCCAGAAGCAGGGAGGAAGGAAAAUAUCAGUGCUUUACUUUAAAGCCAUUGUCUUCCACUGGUUUUCAUUAAGGGCACAGGAGAAUUAUAUGUAAAAUGUAAUAAUCCUCAGGUUUUCCUGAGUGUUUUAACAAGCCACAUUCAGGCAACAGGGUUGGAAAGUGAUGAGGGAAAACGACAAGGGUGUUGAAAGUCCCUAAAUGGGAUCCUGUAAUUUCUAGAAAAGAAAUAGUUCUGCAAACAGGAGACAUGAUUACAUAGGCUUAAUUAACAGUUCAAAGUAUUGGGGAGGACUUAUCAUGGUAGCAUGCAUGUUUCUCGUUCUUUAAUGAGUAAAUGACCCAUUUGAGUGCAUGAGCACAUAUCAGAAGCACAUGGCAAGGAAGAAGUGUGGUGGUGGUAGAUCUGAUCAAAGGUUUUCAAAACUGACUCCAAGUAUUUGAUGAAGAAGAUUAACAUGGAGACAAUUUACCAAACAAAUACAGCAUAAAGAGCCAAGAGACCUUCUAAGGGACUUCAAGGCUCCAGCUUGCCCACAUAAAGAAUAUCAUUAAACAGAAAGAAAACAAAGACCAGAAUAAAUGUCUCAUGUGCUGGGUCCAUAGAGUAACUGAACUCUCGAUUGAUAAUUUUUUUGCUCUAUUUUUUAAUAUACACACCAGAAGGUGUUUUCAGUUUUUAAAUGCAAAACAAAGCAAUGCAUUUGACCUGGGUUCUAACUGGGUAACUCUCUUAAGUGUUCUAAAAGGUUUCUGGACCAGAAUUGGUUAAUUAGUGCUUUGUGUUGCACUGUGUUACAUAUGACCUAACCAGAGAUAAAAAGGUUUAAAGGUCUCUUGUAACCCUGCAAUGCCAUUUGUAACACAAAAAUAACCCCCUUUCAUUACUGGCAUGCCACUGUAGCACGCAGGUUAUUUUUUCCCUUCACUGCAAUAAGGGCAGCUUUCGCAUCAGAAGAAUUCUUGGCAAAUUAAUGCGCUACCUCUUGGGCUAAUUAAAUUAGAAAGGAUCAAAAAUACAGAGCGGCUUUUGUGGUGGACACAAUGUCGUGCUUCAUGCAUCUUGCUCAGAGAGGAAUUUCUGCCAUUUAGCCCCCUUUUGCCUCUAGCAGUGUUCUGGACUCUCUAACACAGUCAAGUUCCUAAUUUGCCUCAAUGAGAGAGAAUUAUUAACUGAUAAUAAGAAAAGGAGCAUUCACAGCUUCAGGCUGGGCUAUGUGGAAGAGGGUGAUCUACCCAGCACCUGAAGCGCAUGCAAUUUUUAUUAAUUCCUGCCUAAAACAAUGCAUUCAGGAGUAAAAUUGCUGUGCAGAUGACAAAAACAAUUACGCCUUUGAGUUGUUCAUUCUAAAAAUGUGAACUACUUUAGCUCAAAUAUAACCAGAUUAAACAACUAAGGCAGUUGCUCACCUCUCUUUAAAUCUAGUUUGGAUUGCAGCAAGUGUGUUUUAUGUUGAGAAGUUGCCACUGCCACUUAAACUGAUUGUUCCUAUUGAAAUCGCUGAGUGCACAAGUUAUUUUGACAAUAAUUAAUAUUGUUCUCUCUAUACCGUGGUCCUUUGUUUGUAAGAUGACACUGAUGAUGGUGUUUCUAUCUUUACGGGCAUUAAUCCCAGAAAGAGAGUUGGAGGCUCCUGCAAUCAAUCCUUGCGUGACUAUUUGCUUCUGUAGACUUUCUGUGAUUUGCUGCUGUUUGUAGAGUUUUCAGUUUACAGGUCUGUCUCUUUGCCUUUUGGAUAACAUGGUAGCUUUGAUCAAAAAAAAUACCUUCAUUUCUAUGUGCUGCAACAUUGCUAAUGGCCUGUUGCUUCCCAGAUAUUGCUAGUUCACAACAACUAGAGAUUCUUCAAUUGUUGUUUGCUGAGUUUCUUCUGUUUAGUUUUUGUUUUUUUUUGGUGGGGGGGGAUAAACAUAGUUAUCCCAAAUUAGUGAAUUAGUUAAUUAUGCUGUUUUCCAAGUUCUGUAUGUUCAUGUUAAUAGGGCUUGGACUAACUUACAUCUGUAACAAUGUGAAGUUGAGUGUAUUCAUUGAUAUAUUAAUAUAAAUGACAAAUACGUGUUUCUAAAAAAAGAAUAAAAAAGUAUUGUUGAUUGUUCUAUGACCAAACUUCUUAUGUAGAUCAUCAAUUUGAUCAUAAUUUUUGUUUUGUUUCAGAAUGAAAAAAACCUCACAAUGUGGUUGUUUUUAUGUGUGUUUUAUUCAUUCCUGAGUUUCCUUUCAAUGUAAUAGGAAUUAGUAGUUGCUUUGGAUAUUCUGUUAGGAUCUUUGGCUUCUUAUGAGAUUUUCAUAGUAUAUACAAAUGUGUAACCUUGAUCUGCUUGAAAACUUCUAAGUUGAACUGCAAUCUUUGCACUGUGAUCAAAAAUCCUUUCCUUGUGUUCAGGUUGGACUAGAACCCAAUUCACCUGAAAAAUUCGAGGACUACUGUAUGCAAAGUGCCAAACCAAUGGUUUAUCUGAAAGCCUUCUAGAGUUUAUUCUAAUGUCAUUUUCAAAAUGUCCUGUUUGAAUUCUAAAACAUAAUGGACAUCCAAUUUGUUCUAUUUGAAUAUGUCACUCUGCUUUUUAAAAAUCAUUAUUUGGGUGCUAAAAAUUGUUGAGGUAGGAUUGUCUAUUUCGUGCUCGUUGGUUAUUUAACCAGACAGCAGUAACUUUAACCUAGAGCUUCAUUCAUUCUAUGUAAUCCAUGCCACCAAUUUAAAUAUUCAUCUCAAGCACCACCCACAUAAAUUCUUCUCAGAUUAUUUCAUAUCACCCUCAUAAUGUUUUUCCUUUCAUCCUUCUAGAAUUUGAUUCAUGGAAUAGAAAGAUUCAUGAUUGUUAUGUACUAAAAAAUCUUGGUCUGGUCUCUGCAAUUUUAUUCAUGCAUCAUCUUUUAAUUACUUGAGGAUUGAUAUCAUAUACUUAGUUUUCUUUUAUUGCCCAUAGCAUCUAGCUUGGCAUACUGUAGAUACUCAUUAAAGUCUUUUUGUUUGCCAAUUGGUUUCUUUAAUGGGUACCAGGGAUCGGUUCUCUUGGCAAUGUUAAAUGUUUGUGUAAAAAAAAAGUUGUAUAGAUGCACUUAUAUUAUAUAUGGCUAAGACCUAAUUUCUAAAGUCUGGAUAGAAGAAGAAAAUUGUAUUUAGACAAAAUUACCUUAAGAAUCCUUCCUUAGAAAGCUGCCUCAUUGGGGACCAUGGAUUCUAUUUCGUUUAAUAAGUCCAAAGCAGCAUGGUUUUCUUCCAAAAUUGGAAUAGAUGGGUGUUUUUUGCUUUAAUAUAAAUAAAGUAGUCUGUCUUCAGGGUCAUGUGGUUGAAAAGAAUGGUUAUCUCUAUACACUAGACUCAUCCUCAGUGCUGGAAGCUGUUUAAUAUAUGAAAGGUAUGUGAGAACUGGGACUGACUGAAUGAAGAGUGGCUUCAUGUCCCUUAUUUCAGGCUUAUUCUGUAGAAAUAUCGGCAAAAUUGCCUUGGUACAUACAUAGAUCUAUUUCUGUUUACUUAUUUAUCUUUUUGUCCAAGUUAUGUAUGGUUGUGAUCAUAUAACUUAAAUGUACAUUAUGACACGUCUCCAUUGUGCAAUUGCUUCUUGUUCCAGGAAAAUUCUCUCUGCUACAUUUUGAACAAGAUGUAUUCAGUGCGUGAGCUUCACUUGUAAAUGCAGCCUUGGGGCUCUUCUUUUAACCUGGCACCUACUUUGCACUCUUUUGUCUUUAUUAUGUCUGGUUACAUGUGUUGGUAAAGACAUAUCUGACAUAUAUUUUUCAAAUGGAAAAGAUGUCACUCCUUUAAAUCCAAUGUUGUCAAGGAAAGCACACUUUAGGGAGAUGGAUAUCUGCCAGAUUGGUAAAAAAACAUUAAUAAGCUUUCUUGCUACCCUCACAGAUUCCUGUAGGAUUUUCUCAUUGUUCUGCAGGACACACACAUGAGCCAGGUAUGCGCUUAACCUCCUUGUUGCAUGCUGAACUCUCAGCUUUGCUGUUACGAUUUGUCUUAACUUUCAUUAGAAAGCUGACAUCUUAAAAGUUUGGAAAAGACUUGCAGUAGGAGGGGCUAUUAAUGCUAACUUGGCAGUUCUUUAUCUUUAGAAAAUGGGCUUUCAGGUUAGAUUUUCAGGAUUUAUGGCAGUCUUUACCUUGAAGAUCAUUUCCUAUAACUUAGGAUUGGCUUAAGCGUAAGAUUACAUUGAUAUUAAUAAACAGGUCAAACUUUUCAGUACUUUUUUUCUGAAAAAGGGGAUUUUUUUUUAAUCAUAACAUAGUUUCAGAUGGUUGAGAUUUGUCUACAACCUCUCAUCCUCACAUAGUGGUUACAUGUGAAACAUACACGCUUUUAACAAUGAAAUGCACAUGCUGUCAUAAACUUUCAUGUUAGGAAAAAGGACCGCAAAAAAGAUGUCAUUUCUUUUCUAAACAACAGUUGCAAUACUUUAAAGUAGUUCUACAAUCUCUUCUUGGUCCUCAUCACUUUUAAGCUCUUAUUUUCCCUAAAUGUGUACUGGACCCAGAGAAACAGAACAUGCCUGACUACUUUCCUUCUGGUAUGAAAAUGCUGUGCUUAAAAAUAUCAUCUGUAUGUGCUUUAUUUUUAUUUCAACCAUACGUGCUUUUAUAAGUAUUUGAAAAGAAAAUAUUUUAAAGAUUUGAAAUAGAAGGAAGGGGCUAUAUGUGAAUUACAGCAGCCUCAGGGUAACAGUAUCUCACACACUAAUGAUUCAUAUGGAGUUUAUGUGUCUAUUUAUGUUGUCAUUUAUUUAGGGGAGGGGUGGCUACAGAAAGAAAGCAAUGUAUAGCAUAUUACCUAAAUACCAGUGGUUUCUGAACAAAAGGAAAAAGAACACCCUGAACAUUAUCCUCAUUUAAUUAGAAGCAAUCAUUACAUAAUUAUUCACAUUAAUGCAGUUUCUUACAACAGUGUUCAACUUAUUGGCAUUUCCUCUUUUUCCCCUCUUCGUUCUAAAAGAAGGGAGGAUUGUUCUUUAUUAUUUGAAAGGGAAAAGGAAACUGGUUUUAUUUUCUGAUGAAGCAUGUGCAAAAACGUCCACAUUUGAUGUGGCUCCUGGGGCCACACGGUGUCUGAUUUUUCUACAUGAUCCUGGAUCUUCUGUAGUUAUUUCAGACUCAAAUAAUAAUGGUAUCUUUAAAGGAACCAGGAAACUUGAACCCAUAUCUUUGUCAUGAAUGCAGGAUUUAUAUCAUCAGAGUCUAGUUUCCGACCUUGAGGAAAAAAGGCUGCAGCAUCUAAGAGAGCUGUAAGUGAUGACAUAAAACUUAAAGUGCAUGCGGGAGUAUUGUAGCCUAGUAUCGAUGAGCAAAAAUAGUAUAAAGGGGUGAAAUAUUAUUGUCAGCAUACCAGGGAGGUAUUUUUGCCCAGAUUACUAUUUCACAUAGUUUACCCCAAAAUUUAGCUUUCUCAGAGAAGUUAGAGGAAAUAAAAUGUUGUCUUCAUUUUCAUGUGCCUUAAUAGAGUCCAGAUAACUAUUAUUGCUUAGAGUUAAGCAAGCACAUAGACUCAUUUUUGCCAUCAGCACACGCCUGAAAGAAAGGGCAGAUGAGUCUGAACAAAUUUUCUGAGGUGACUUGUGUGUGUGUAUGCAUUUGAGAUAUAUAAAGAAGUAAAGAGGAAAAGUUGGGGAAAUUAAUUGAAAAAUUAUUGGUUCUUAAAAUGCAGAGGCAAGAAUAAAUUAAAGCAGAUGCACAUUGGAAAGUUUACUUUCUACUUUUACCCACACAUUCUUCUUCUUCUUUUUUUUUUUUUUUUGCCUUUUGCAACUGAAUAGAAAAGGAGAAAACUAUUUCCAGGUGUCUUCACUCAGCCUCUAAGUUUCAGAAAUAUCGAUAUAUGACUUUACUACUGACAGGGGACAGACAAAGAGAAGCUCAUCUCUUUGGAUUCUCUGUUACAAAUAUAGUUACAAAAUGGUGUAAAAUAGUCCUUUUGAGUUCCAGAUUUGUGACUACAAAAAUUAGGCAUUUCUUUCUUUCUCUCUUUGCUUGAAAAUCAAGUCCACCCUGUCUCAACCACAUAAAUAGAACAAUUUUCCUCUGUGAACUGCUUGAUGAGGCUGUGGCCAGAUUCAUAUAAAUGUCAUAAAAACAGAGUACAGAAUGGAUUAUUUUAUGAUUAAGAUCUGUAUGGAUCUUUGUAUGAAUGCAACGUGCUUUGGCAGGGUUCUGCUGCAUGCACACUAGUUUUAGUGUGUGUGGUGGAAAAAAUGGCCUGCCACAUUGUCACUUUAAUAUCUUUCUGAAAAGCAACAAAAAUCACUGGGCUCCACCAAAGGUUACAGCAUCGUACAAAGGUUCGGUCUGCUAACCAGUACAGUGUGUGUUCUAUUUCUCAUUGGAAUAAUAAUGAGAGUAAGAUUCAAUAAAAUGCCACAGUAUUUCUCAGCACUUUGUCAUUAAAUGGCAUGUUGAUAUCUAAUUGUAAUUAUAAGGUGAAACUUUCCUGUUCUUUAAUUUAUGUAAUAAGAUUCAAUUUUCUUUCCAUAUAUUUUAUUGUGUCUAUGAGCUGAAAUCUUUCUCUAUCUUUCUUUUUCUUCGGUUCAGAUCUUUUGGGGGAAAGAGAUGCUUCAUUCAGAUUUAUUUUUUUGAGCCACCAGACAAGCUGCUACCAGCACAUGGAUGCCAAGAUGGUCCUUUAAUAAAGAAUUGUGGUUUAAGAAUUUCAACCAAAGGAUUAAUGUAUUAAACUGAAUAGUUGCAUCCAGGCAGUAGCAAAGAUGAUGAUCAGAGUUGGUGAAAGAAAGAUUAUUGAUCAUCUGGCUCUAUCAGUCACAAACAGGGAAGAAGAAAACAAAAGGGAGGAAAAGGAGAUUAAAGAAACAAAAAAUAGUUUAGUAAUGCCAGCUGAUUCUGUUGUUAAUUAUAAAUCUUUGGCAAGAAGCGUUGGCUGUACAGUAACACUCCAGUUAUCUGGCGGUCAGAUUUCCAGUAAUCUUUACCACUCAGAACACAGAUGAGAUCCUAGGGUUGUAUCUCUCAUAGCCUUGGGCACAUAGGAACAAUGUUCUCUUCUGGGUGCAUUCAGCUAUUCCCUGGAAGGUUUAUUAAAUUGAUUAUGCAUAUACAUUUAACUUUCUGAUUUAAUAUACUGGUUUGUCUGGCUUUUUAAAGCCUCUUUAAGUUCUUCUCCAGGUUAUGGAGGUAAGUGGAAAUAGGGAGGGGGUAAAAAGCAUUGGGAAUGGGGGAAGGAUGUGCAGGCUAGCAGGCUGUAAAAUAAAUAGAUAUGAAUAGCUAUUAUUUUGCAGACAAUGACUACUCGAGAGAGACUGCUGAACUGUCUUGGUACUUAGAAGAAGGAAAGAUAGCUCUUAGCUGUGGAAUCCAAGGAAGUCUUCAUGGAGAGGGGACAUUACCGUUGGGCCUAGUGGGUUACCUAGGAUUGAAAAAGGUGGGAACUGGGAUGUGGACAUUCGAGAAGCCUUAGGGUAAGGAGAUGGGGUAAGUAAUAUUAGGAAUCAUUAAUGAAGUACUGAAAAUUUGGUUGAAGCAUAAGGUGACUCUGUGAGAGUCAUGGAAAAUAUGGUUGAAGUAGCAAAUAAAGACUAGGCUAUGGAGACUUUUGAAUACCAAACUCAAGUAUUCAGCUUUCAUUGAAGACUGUUAGAGCUACUGAAAGCAUUUGGUCAGGGGAGUUAGGAGGCCAGGGCUGUUUUGCCGGGGGUGGGAUAAGCAUAUUGGGAGAGUGGAGGCAGGAGAGUGGGAAAUUUAGUACUUGAACUUAGGAGCAUUGUGCAGAUGACUAGCCUACUGUGGGGGACCAUGAGAGAGGCUGGAGAGAUGUUUGUAGUUAACUAAGUAGGGACUAAAAGCAGUAGUUAAAUUGGAAGAUCAGAUGAGAUUAUUGAGGGAAAUAAUGUAAAUAAUGAAAGAACAAGGAAUGACAGAUCCUUGGAAUCUCUACUAGAAUAGUAAUGGAGGAGCCUGAGAAGUGUAAUAACUAGGAAGGUGGAACAUAGACUGUGGUGUUGUAGAGAAGGAAGGGUAGAAGAGGAAGGAGCAAAGAACUAAUAUACAUUGAAUAUCAACUAUAUAUCCAGAUCCAUAUGUACACAAUGUUAUUUAAUCUUUUCAUGCAUUCUAUUAGAGAGAUAUUCUUACCCUAAUUUUACAAAGGAAGAAAUUGGUUUUCAGAGGGGUUAGGUUACAUGUCCAAAGUCACCAAGUAGCAAGUAGCUGAGCUGUUUGAUUCCAAAGCCUAUGCUUUUGCACUGUUAAAUGCUGCCAACAGGUUGAAGCAUCUAAGAGAAGAGAAAGGGUUAUUUGGUUGACCUCAGGAGAAGAGAACAGAAGUCAUAUUUCAAAAUAAUAAGAGAUAAGUGGGUGAUAGAUUCAGUUUAGUUCACAUACUGUUUAUUGGGCAUCUGAUGUGUAAUGAGGAAAUUUUCUGGCUACUGGAUAUCCAAAAAUCAACAGAGCUGAGUCCUUGCUCAAGGAGUAUGAAAUUUGGAAAGGGCAAAACACAGGUAUAGAUCAUUUCAACAUAAUAUAGUGUCUGCCUUGAGAACACAGUUUGUCCUUUUAAGAAACAGAAUAAAAACUUAAUAAAAAGAACACAAUAAAGGGUUCUAUUUUUUUAAGAGAAUGUGAACUUGAUGAUGCAGUUCUUGUGACUGAUUGGAUGAUGCAGUGGUGAAGGGGCAGUGAAGAUGUUAAAAUAAGAGCAGGUAAGGGAGAAUGGGACCAAGGACAUAUGGAAUUGGGAGGGUGGGCAGAGUACACUUGAGGGAAAAAGAGAAUAAUCUGAUAAUAUUCAUGGAUCUAUUUAACAGAUGCCCAUUACUAUCUUAUGCAUAUUAUAUGGAAAAAAAACUGGCCUGAGAACAUUAACUUAAUAUUUUAUGUCUGAUCAGUAUUGUUUAUUAGGCAUGCUGCUCUGCCACCUUUGGCCACCGUUGGCUUUCCAUUUAGAGGGCAUCAACUCUGAGCAGUCAAGUCCAAGGUAGAAAAAGUCCUUUUAAUGUAUUUGUGCAAAAAUUGAAAACCACAUCUGGGGCAGAUAGAAGAGUCUAAAGAUGAUUAUAUGAGUUUCAAAUUCUGGCCAACUUUUAAACAUAAGGCAAACAAACAGAUAGAUAAACUAUAUAAAAAUAUCUAUUUCGUUUAAUCAUUCUAAUUUUAAAGGGUAAAUAAUUAAAGUACAUUUCAAUACUGUGAUUAGAGGCUACACAAACUGUGUCCAAAAGCAGUGUUCAUUUCUCAUCAGAAACAUCUAAGAGGAAAAGAAAAUGUUGUGUUCUUAUAUUAGUACAGCUUUGCUUAAAUGAUAUGGUUGUCAUCUCAUUGUUUAAGGGGUAUAGAAAGUAACAGAAAUGUUGUACUCAUAGUGUUCCCUAUAAGCUAUUUGCCUUUUUGAGUUGUAUUGUGCUUUCCCCAUGUUCCUAUUUAUUUACACUUUUUCUUGCAGAAUUCAGGAUAUGGUCUAUGAUGAUGUAGUCUCUCCACUGUCCCCACUUCUUAUCUCUCUUUCUCUCCUUCUAUAUUUUCAUACAUUAUUAUUUCUUAUUAGCAACUCUAGUUCUGAAAAUAAAAUUUAAUAAUGUGUUUUGCUAGAGCAGUAAAUGCUAUUAUGUGCUUAAAAAUGGAAAGAUAGAUGUGAACUCAAUGAUACCCUAGUGUUAAUACCAAAAAGGCACCUAAAAAGAAUGAUCUGUGUCUGCUAGUAUUUGACACAGAAGAUAUGAAAUAAAUAAUUUCUGCUUCUCAUGGACAUAAGUUUUUAAAAUCAUUUCAAUUCUGGUAACAAUGCAAAAAUACUUGAGCAGUUCGUUUUUAAACCAUACAAUAAUAGUUAUAUGGCCUGUAAUACCAAUAAUCACAGGUUUGUUAAUUUACUAGAAACAAUUAUGAAUUUC